rnacentral:rRNA from 1 species
GAUGAACGCUGGCGGCGUGCCUAAUACAUGCAAGUCGAGCGAACAGACGAGGAGCUUGCUCCUCUGACGUUAGCGGCGGACGGGUGAGUAACACGUGGAUAACCUACCAAUAAGACUGGGAUAACUUCGGGAAACCGGAGCUAAUACCGGAUAAUAUAUUGAACCGCAUGGUUCAAUAGUGAAAGACGGUUUUGCUGCCACUUAUAGAUGGAUCCGCGCCGCAUUAGCUAGUUGGUAAGGUAACGGCUUACCAAGGCGACGAUGCGUAGCCGACCUGAGAGGGUGAUCGGCCACACUGGAACUGAGACACGGUCCAGACUCCUACGGGAGGCAGCAGUAGGGAAUCUUCCGCAAUGGGCGAAAGCCUGACGGAGCAACGCCGCGUGAGUGAUGAAGGUCUUCGGAUCGUAAAACUCUGUUAUUAGGGAAGAACAAAUGUGUAAGUAACUAUGCACGUCUUGACGGUACCUAAUCAGAAAGCCACGGCUAACUACGUG